CACGUGCUCGGAGCAGCAGUGCAGAAAUGCUGGAGCAGAUGAUCAUAGCAAUGGCUGUUCUCCUUACUCUCUUCUAUGCUGAAUUUACUGAAUCCUCCUCAAGCUGCAGUCUCCACAAAGCCGAAAUAAAAAGAGUGGAUGAAAAUGCAACAGCAUUUGUGUCCUGUCCAGCACUUGCAGAGCAUGAAAACCCAUCUAUCUCUCUAUACAAGGGAGAUACAAAGCUGCACUCAACAAACCUGAGUGAUGUGGACAGUAAUCAGUCAUGGCAGCGGUUUCAGGUGUACGUAGAAAACUCCUCCGUCUCAUUUAAGAUUCUAAGGGCUGAAGCCAGUGACACAGGACUCUACAAUUGCAAAAUCGACACACAAAUCAGGACAUCUGCAUCCCAGACUAUAUUGCUCAUUAAAGAUGCUCUGCAGCCCAUAGAAUCAACUGUCACUUGUCCCAUUGAUCAGACACUGCCACUUGCUGUUGGCUGUGGGGUCAUCAUUGCAUAUGAUCUGAUCAUCACUGUCUUCGUCUGUUACCUCAAAUAUAAACUCAAGAACACAGAGCCACCUGAGAAUCCCUACAUAAACACAAGACCAAAAGGAUUCCAACGACGCUGAUGAGCUCAGCAGCAUUUAUCCAGCAAAUAUCAGCAGCGUAGCAACAUUUGUACCUCCUAUCAGCUGAGCAGUAUACUGCCCAGAGAGUGUAUUAAACAAAUCUACUAAUUGUUCUUGUAUCUAUUGCUGUUCAGUAUAUAUGAUAGAUAUUGUAUAGUAUAUUUACACUGGGGGUCAAAGGUUUGGAAUCAUUAGGAUUUUUAAUGUUUUUGUUAGAAGUCUCUUAUGC
rnacentral:lncRNA from 1 species